AACGAACGCUGGCGGCAGGCUUAACACAUGCAAGUCGAACGGACGUAGCAAUACGUUAGUGGCAGACGGGGGAGUAACGCGUGGGAAUAUGCCCUUUAGUUCGGAAUAACUCAGGGAAACUUGAGCUAAUACCGGAUAAUCCCGAGAGGGGAAAGAUUUAUCGCUGAAGGAGUAGCCCGCGUCUGAUUAGCUAGUUGGUGAGGUAAUGGCUCACCAAGGCGACGAUCAGUAGCUGGUCUGAGAGGAUGAUCAGCCACACUGGGACUGAGACACGGCCCAGACUCCUACGGGAGGCAGCAGUGGGGAAUAUUGGACAAUGGGGGCAACCCUGAUCCAGCCAUGCCGCGUGAGUGAUGAAGGCCUUAGGGUUGUAAAACUCUUUUGUCCGGGAAGAUAAUGACUGUACCGGAAGAAUAAGCCCCGGCUAACUUCGUGCCAGCAGCCGCAGUAACAC
rnacentral:rRNA from 1 species